CCUACGGGAGGCAGCAGUGAGGAAUAUUGGUCAAUGGACGGAAGUCUGAACCAGCCAUGCCGCGUGCAGGAAGACGGCUCUAUGUGUGGUAAACUGCUUUUGUACAAGAGUAAACCUGAAUACGUGUAUUCAGCUGAAUGUACUGUACGAAAAAGCAUCGGCUAACUCCGUGCCAGCAGCCGCGGUAAUACGGAGGAUCCAAGCGUUAUCCGGAUUUAUUGGGUUUAAAGGGUGCGUAGGCGGAUUGAUAAGUUAGAGGUGAAAUGUCCGAGCUUAACUCGGGAACUGCCUCUAAUACUGGUGAUCUAGAGAGUAGGUGCGGUAGGCGGAAUGUAUGGUGUAGCGGUGAAAUGCUUAGAUAUCACACAGAACACCGAUUGCGAAGGCAGCUUACCAAUCUAUAUCUGACGUUGAGGCACGAAAGCGUGGGGAGCAAACAGGAUUAGAUACCCGGGUAGUC
rnacentral:rRNA from 1 species